GCCAGCAGCCGCGGUAACACCGGCGGCUCGAGUGGUAACCGUUAUUAUUGGGUCUAAAGGGUCUGUAGCCGGCCGGAUAAGUCUCUUGAGAAAUCUGGCAGCUUAACUGUCAGGCUUUCAGGAGAUACUGUCUGGCUCGAGGCCGGGAGAGGUGAGAGGUACUUCAGGGGUAGGGGUGAAAUCUUGUAAUCCUUGAAGGACCACCAGUGGCGAAGGCGUCUCACCAGAACGGACCUGACGGCAAGGGACGAAAGCUAGGGGCACGAACCGGAUUAGAUACCCGGGUAGUCCUAGCCGUAAACGAUACUCGCUAGGUGUCCGCCACGGUGCGACCGUUGUCGGUGCCGUAGGGAACCGUGAAGCGAGCCACCUGGGAAGUACGCCGCAAGGCUGAAACUUAAAGGAAUUGGCGGGGGAGCACCACAACGGGUGGAGCUUGCGGUUUAAUUGGAUUCAACGCCGGAAAUCUUACCGGGACCGACAGCAACAUGAAGGCCAGGCUGAAGACUUUGCCGGAUUAGCUGAGAGGUGGUGCAUGGCGUCGUCAGUUCGUACUGUGAAGCAUCCUGUUAAGUCAGGCAACGAGCGAGACCCACGCCCACAGUUGCCAGCGUACUCUCCGGAGUGACGGGUACACUGUGGGGACCGCCGCUGCUAAAGCGGAGGAAGGAAUGGGCAACGGUAGGUCAGUAUGCCCCGAAUAUCCCGGGCUACACGCGAGCUACAAUGGUUGGUACAAUGGGUAUCUACCCCGAAAGGGGACGGAAAUCUCCUAAAACCAAUCUUAGUUCGGAUUGAGGGCUGCAACUCGCCCUCAUGAAGCUGGAAUCCGUAGUAAUCGCGUUUCAACAGAACGCGGUGAAUACGUCCCUGCUCCCUUGUACACACCGCCCGU
rnacentral:rRNA from 1 species